GGAAAGUCCCCGGACUCGAAACCACGACCGCUCCGAAAGCGGAGCUUGUCGGUUGAGAUCAGCGACGCUUCGAGUCUACCGCCGAGCAUGAAUAUCAUUGCAUCCAUAUGCGAAGACGGGCUG
rnacentral:RNase_MRP_RNA from 1 species